UUAUAUCUUAAAUAUGUAGAUACAUAUAUUGUUAACCAUUAUACUCGAUCAAUAUAAGUAUCAUACAUGGCUAAGUCGCCAGAUGGCUGCUUGACGGAGUCGCCAUUUUGCUUGUAUGAAGAUGCUGCCAAACGUUCCCACCGCUGAGAAUGAGGAUCAUUUAUUGAAAAAUGCCACCAAAAUUUAAAGACAACAAUCCUCGAGUUCUUUGCUCUGAUUGUGAGUGCUUCGACUUUUGUUUGGGACUUGACACAAUACAGUGAAUGCAUCCCCCUAGUCACUGCUCCUUUAACGCAAUGACCAAAAUGAUAGACAAUGUUUAAGUUGAGUGACUAAUUAAAAUGAUAUUUUUAAAAGUUAGAAUGACAAGCGUUUGAUUAAGUUGUAGUUGAAUGACGCUAUUUUUGUUGAUUAAGUUGUAGUUGCAUGAUGCUGUUCUUUCAUCUGCCAUAGACUAUAGUCUAGAGGGUAUCUAACGUUCCAUAUUGAUGGCGUUCAAAGAUGCCUACAUUUUGUUUUGGGGGACUAACUUCUAUAAAGAACAAAAUUAUUAUGAAAUUAGGGAACUAAGCUCUGCAGGUUGAAUCUUCUUCUCAAAAAAAAAAAAAAAAANAAAAAAAAAGUACUGCAGGUUGACUCUAAGUAGCAGUGGCUUGACUAAUUUCAAUCUCCUUACAAGUCUGAUUCCUUUUAUAUUUCUCUGCUCCGGCUGGAUCAAACAAGCAAGGUUUGAGUGUUUCUGUCAAGCUGUAAUGGAGAAGAUCGAGCAUAAGUAUGUGGAAGUAGGAGGGCUAAAACUUCAUGUCGCUGAAAUUGGGAGUGGUACGUAUGAUCCAGUUUUAUUCCCAGAUAAGCUCCAUAUUGAUUUAAAAGUUUUGGUUCUUUCCCAGAGUACAACAACUAAUUAUAAUGAUAAGCAUUGAUUUCUGAUAUGCAGGUUCAAAUGUGGUGCUUUUCCUUCAUGGAUUUCCAGAAAUAUGGUACUCUUGGAGGCACCAGAUGAUUGCUGUGGCUAACAAUGGCUACCGAGCAAUUGCCUAUGAUUGCAGGGGAUAUGGACUUUCUGAGCAGCCAGCUGAGCUUGAAAAGGCUACUUUCAAUGACCUUGUUGAAGAUGUUGUUGGCCUUUUGGAUUCUUUGGCAAUUAACAAGGUAAUGUGUACGUUCUUGUCUUUAUGUCUAGCAGUGGUUCUUAAAAUCUAAUCUGUAUACGAACCCAGUUAAGAAUGAUAAGUCAUAAGGUGGUUGAAGAAGGUUCAAAUCCAUAUUGCCAAGAUAAUUCUAACCCAGAUACAUAAUGACCAGGUUUUCCUUGUUGGUAAGGAUUUUGGAGGUAUGCCUGCCUACAUAGUAGCUGCUCUGCAUCCUGAUCGAGUAGCUGGUGUCGUAUCACUAGGUAUUCCUUUUAUGCUACCAGGUCCCGCUGCUGUCCAAAGCCAUCUUCUUCCUGAAGGUUUCUAUGUAUCAAGGUGGCAGGUAUAAAAAAAUUUACUCAUUUUCUUGAUCAGACACCACUCUUGAGUUCUACUCAUUUGCGUAUGUUAAUUAAGUUGUUACAUGAUUCAGGAGCCAGUUGGGAGGGCUGAAAAAGAUUUUGGCCGCUUUGAUGUUAAGUCAGUGAUAAGGAACAUUUACAUUCUCUUUUGUGGAAGUGAGAUUCCAGUAGCUGCCAAGGAUCAAGAGAUCAUGGAUUUGUUUGAUCCAGCUAUUCCUCUACCGUCAUGGUUCUCUGAAGAAGAUCUUGCAGUCUAUGCAUCUCUUUAUGAGAAAUCCGGAUUCUAUUUUCCAUUACAAAUUCCAUACAGGUAGGAAGAAACAUAACUCUUGCAUUUACUCGGUCCUAAUUAUUUUCCUAUAGCCCUUAGGAUAAGAACAUUUGGUGUACUGAAUUCAUAUUUUUCUCAGGAUAACCAAAAAAGCAAAAAGAAUCGUAUAAUCUUAAUUCCACAUUAAAUAUAGCAUCCCAUCAGCAUAGUUAAUUGUAACAGAAUGGUUCCAUUGAUGCAGGACUUUAGCUGUGGAUUGCGGUUAUACUGAUCUAAAAGUCUCUGCUGCAACACUGCUUGUGAUGGGUGAAAAGGACUAUGUCUUCAAGUUUCCGGGGAUGGGAGAUUACAUACGAACUGGGGCAGUGAAGCAUUUUGUGCCUGAUUUGGACACUGUAUACAUUGCAGAAGGGAAUCAUUUCAUGCAAGAACAAUUUCCAGAGCAAAUUAAUCAGCUAAUUCUCACUUUUCUUGGAAAACAUGGUAUCUAAUUCCAUAGUUCUCGACAUGCCUGGAGAAUUCAAGGGAGAAAAUUGAUGUUCUGUCCAGUGUAUGCUAAAUAAAUUGCAAAUUUAAGAAAAAUAAACUAUUUUAUUUGUUAAAUAAAUCUUGGGAUCCGCAUAUGAUUGGCUACUUGUUCUGAGAACUCUAUGCUUAUGAACUGGGAUUAUAUAUACUUGAGCACUGUUCCUGGGGAAUAAGCAGGAUGUGGACGUGAAUGAUUGUGGGGAGUUUGUAGAAACUGAAUUUCAUUUUCUUUCUGUUCUACCAAGAUACAAAUAUAUAGCAGCUCUUGCUACUGUUACAAAAGGCUAUUGAAGGCUAUUAAGUUAACUACAUUUAUAUCAGUAUGAUACGCAUUUACAAACUUACAGCAGAAUCAUAAGACAGCCUAAUCAUAACAUUGAGUGCUAGCAUCAUGACUUGAUUUGAGGAGAGGAAAUCUCUCUAACAGAGUUUGUGUAAGAAUUAAUACUGAUUCCACACAUAGCAAGGUUGGAUUGGACCUGAUCGGAAAGGGUUGGUCAUUCAUGAUGACCUUGAUCCAAAACUGGAGUUCUGAUGAGUGAUGACAUAGGAUUAGAGUAUAUGUCAUGGGAUAUAACAUCUCAAAGAGGAUUUGAAUAUGAUUAUGAGGUUCUUUUGAAAGGGGAUAUGUAUGAGGUGAGGAACUGAGGAUUGAAUAUAAUUUCACUGCUUCAAGAGAAUGAAUGUGUUUAAUUAGCAUGUUCAUCAGAACACAAUUAUGUCAAGUUGAAAUCUGGUUGAAAAUCCAAUCUUGAAUGUCUUUAUGAAGGCAAUAUGUAUGCUAUAGUUUUCAAUAAACGAAUUUCUCGUUUUGCAAUUCAGAGUCCCUUUAUGAUACUUGAUCAUGAAGUGAAUGUCGUUGUUUUCUACAUUAUAAUACAUCUCAUGUGAAUGAUACCCUCUGUUGCAUUCAUUCAAAAGUACCAUGAUGUCAGUAGAACAAAGUAUCAAUCCAUCUCAUCAUUCUCAUGUACUCGUAUGUCUUCCUACUUUAGUUCAACUUUCCAUCCAUAAAUGGCCUUGAGAUAACCUUGCUUCUAUUUGUAAGAACAAUAAACUAGCCACCGAAAAAGAGAAAGGUUUAUUGCAGCUUAACUUGAUUUCAUUCAAGCAUGUAUAUCUGUAUGAGAAGAUAAUUCCAUGCGUGAUGAGCAGCACCGUUAAUGAGCAUUUCCUCAGCAGUGAGCUUAUGCACUGGAUACUUAGUACCUCAUUUACAAGAGGAGCUCGAUAUGAUGUCAUGCAAGUAGCAAGACGUACUGUACGAUAAUUAGCAAAAUAAUAGACAUAAACUUGAUCAAGUAAUUGUUCAUAAUGAUUUGGUUCGAGUACAUCAUGCGGAUAUAAGCAUGAAUUUUGUUUCUUUUACGGUUGUCAGUGUCUAGCAUCUUGAAAAGCAAGUGAUUUCUUAUGUUUGUCCACUGCUCAGUGCCCUUUCAUUUCCCCCUCCUUUGUUGUAUUUCUUUGACUCUAUGCGACUGAUAUGAUAAAUUCAUAAAUUUGAUUUCCAAAUCACCAACACAUUUCAGAACACAUAACAGUGUGCAGACCAACAAUUAGUAUAUCCAGUUACUCGGCCUUUCAUCGUUAGCGCGCAGUCAUUACCUUCGAAUAACAUGGUGAUUAUAAAUUAAAAUAGAGAUUCAUAGCAAGGCCCUGCACCUUCAUAGUUUAGCAACACCAUAUUCUUGUUGAGCCAAAGUAGUUAUGGUCAAUAUCUGGUCUCAAAUAUUGUGUGACAAAUAUAGUUCAAGCUAAUCCCCAUUUAACCACAAACGUAAUGGCCUGCAUUCAGAAAAGGAAUUGAAAAAAAUUAUAUAACUACUAUCAUUCAUUUUAGAUUGAUUGAUUUCUAUUGUUUUCUGGGGAUGGACCUCCCACAUGGUACUUAUUAUAUAUAUAUUCUAUUUUUCUCUUUUAUUCUUGUCAGCUUUGGAUGUGACUACCUCAUCUACCAAAGACUAGAGGUUAGCUAAUAUUCCAUAUUGAUGGCGUUCAUAGAUGCCUACAUCUUGUUUCUAUAAAAGGACAAAAUUAGUUGACUCUAAGAAGCAACGGUUUGACUGAUUUGAAUCCCUUGACAAGUCUGAUUCUUGCUAUAUUUCUCUCCUUUUGCUGGAUCAAACAAGCAAGAUUUGAGUGUUUCUGUCAAGCUCUCAUGGAGAAGAUCGAGCAUAAGUAUGUGGAAGUAGGAGGACUAAAGCUUCAUGUAGCUGAAAUUGGAAGUGGUACGUAUGAUCCAGUCCAGAUAAGCUCCAUGUUGAUUUAAAAGUUUUGGUUCUUUCCCACAGAGUACAACAACUAAUAACAAUGAUAAGCAUUGCUUUCUGAUAUGCAGGUUCAAAUGUGGUGCUUUUCCUGCAUGGAUUUCCAGAAAUAUGGUACUCUUGGAGGCACCAGAUGAUUGCUGUGGCUAACAAUGGCUACCGAGCAAUUGCCUAUGAUUGCAGGGGAUAUGGACUUUCUGAGCAGCCAGCUGAGCUUGAAAAGGCUACUUUCAAUGACCUUGUUGAAGAUGUUGUUGGCCUUUUGGAUUCUUUGGCCAUUAACAAGG
rnacentral:lncRNA from 1 species